CGGCCACUUGACGUUGAAAUACCGGUUCCCGUGCGAUCACCGAAGUUAAGAAACAUCAAACCUGGUCAGCACCCAGAUGGGUGAACGCUUGAGAAUACAAGGUGUUGUAAG